GGAGAGCGCAGCUUCCCUCUCAAGCCUUCUCGGGGGGAGAGCGAUCCCCACAGAGGCUUGAGAGGGAAGCUGCACAUCUGC